rnacentral:rRNA from 1 species
UACGGGGGGGGCAAGCGUUGUUCGGAAUUACUGGGCGUAAAGGGCUCGUAGGUGGCCAACUAAGUCAGACGUGAAAUCCCUCGGCUUAACCGGGGAACUGCGUCUGAUACUGGAUGGCUUGAGUUUGGGAGAGGGAUGCGGAAUUCCAGGUGUAGGCGGUGAAAUGCGUAGAUAUCUGGAGGAACACCGGUGGCGAAGGCGGCAUCCUGGACCAACACUGACACUGAGGAGCGAAAGCCAGGGGAGCAAACGGGG